GAUGAAGAACGUAGCGAAAUGCGAUACUUGGUGUGAAUUGCAGAAUUCAGUGAAUCAUCGAAUCUUUGAACGCAUAUUGCGCUCUUUGGUAUUCCGAAGAGCAUGCUUGUUUGAGUAUCAGUAAACACCUCAACCUCUUCUUGAUUUUUCAAAAGGAGGGUGGACUUGAGCUAUCCCAACAACCUUUACCGGUCGGCGGGCGGCUUGAAAUGCAGGUGCAGCUGGACUUUUAUCUGAGCUAAAAGCAUAUCUAUUUAGUCCUCGUCAAACAGGAUUAUUACUUUUGCUGCAGCUAACAUAAAGGAUAAUUGUCCUCUUUGCUGACUGAUGCGGGAUUUUACGACACUUUAUGUGUUGUUCAACUCGAUCUCAAAUCAAGUAAGACUACCCGCUGAACUUAAGCAUAUCAAUAAGCGGAGGA
rnacentral:misc_RNA from 1 species